rnacentral:lncRNA from 1 species
CAGCCUCAGCGGAAACCAUCUGCUGUUUGCAGAAAUGAUUGUCAUCAAUGACUGAAAGAGUACUGGGAACAUUUCAAGCAGCACUGUUCAUUUUACACUGGUUGGAUAUAAAGAGUUAAAGAUUACAGCUGGCUGAUAGAGAAAAAAAUUUUUCCUGUAUGUUGGAGAGGAACAACAAAUUCCACACCAUAAAGGGAGGAUCAGGGGAGACCAGCAUGAAGCAAACAUCUAUCGUGAAUGGAUAUACAUUAAGUAAACUUUCUAAAAUCGAGUGAACUUUUUACAAGUUUACAGGAGAAAAACAAAUUCUGUUAUGUAUAAACUAAACUCUUAAACAGGAAUGGAAGACUGUCCAGAUCCAGAACUUCCAGAUAUAGGGCGUGACACAGAAGGUUUCAGUUGGGUGUCAGGAUAAUCCAUAUGGAUUUAAUGGUGCGGUGGUGUAUGGAGAUGAAACCUAUGGCAUGACCUCAAGAUGUAUCCCAGAUAUGACUGGCUACAAUCAAUACCUAACUAGUUGCAACAGACGUGGAAAUGGCUUUAGUGCUGGAGUCAUUAAUGCAGACAAUCUUAAUGAUGCUCGAGCAUUGCAUCAAAUGCUGCCAGUGAAUGUUUCACUGACCGUAUCUGCUAUAUCGGCCCCAAUGAACACUCGCAACCAACUAGGAGGUCGUCACAUGGACCCAUAUUUCACUUAUGGAUAUGCAUUAGCACCCGUUUAUGGAUGUGGCAGGAACAGGUAUCCGCUUUGGGAUAGAGAUGAACAACAUGAGGAGGAAGAGGGGAAUUUGCGUCUUAAGGAGAAAAAGAAGAAAGCAGGAAGAAGAAGGAGGAAAAGAUCCCGCCAUGCUGGUCAUUAGAAGGGCAAAAGAUCUGACCAGCAUAUAAAUAAAUAAACCAUUGUAAUUACAAUGUAUUCAUAAGAAUUUCUCUGUGCUUUGUUCUGUCUGGUUUCCAUAUUCUUAAGGUGCAGUAUCAUUUACUGUUUGGUGAAUUGGUGCAGGCAAAAUCCAGUCAUUUCAAUAGGAAUCCAUGCGAAAGGUUUCCCCUUGCAGAUUUGGCACUGGGUUCACGUUGGCCAACCAAACUGACUUGUGUAUGACUUCUUUAUAUUUUAUUGAACUUCUGAUUUCUUUAUUGUAUGUUCGCUAGCAACAUAAUCUGUUUUUUCAUGAUACUGAACUAAUCCUCACCUGUUAUCCAUUAAAACAACGUACUUAUGAUUUAUUCUGGUGGUAUAGGCUAGUGAUGAUACCGAAAGAUCUGGGCUGGUAUAACGCUAAAUGUUGUAGGAUAUGGGCACAAUAUUUGUUGUACACCAUGCACAACAUAGUAUAAGCUUGAAUAGUAAUAUGCACUUUAAAGGGCUGUACGUACGGGACUGUAUGUUUUUCAAAUAAAAACUAAUUACACUGACG